CUUAAAAACACACAUAUUUAUCAAGUGCCAACUAAUCACCAGGCCCGGAACUGGAGACACAGCAGAGGAAGCAGAGCCCCUAGCCUGGCUCCGUGACUCAGGUCCUUCUGCCCAGACCUCCUCGGCCUGACAGGUGAGCCCCCAGGGGCUGGCAUUGCCCUCCUCACACGGCAUAUCCAGAGGUGGUAUGAAGAGUCUGAGCUGCCCACUCCCCUUUUUGAUUUAGCUCUACAGAGGUAUCAUUUACGUGGAGUAAAAUAGACCCAUUUUAAGUGCACAGCGCAGCAAAUCCCAAAAGGGCCCCUCUUCCACUUGCUGGUUUUACCAUGUUUUCGUGCCCAGUGUUUCUGUGUGCUGGGUUUUCCGCUUUCUGGAAUGGUAUUGUCGUCCAGUAUGGAACCUUCUGAAUUUUGCUCCAUUCACAGAACAUUCUUUUUCUUGCACACCUGUAGUUCCUUCCUUUUCACUACUGCGUAAUAUUCAUUUAAGAGAUUUACUGACUCCAUGCCAGGUUCUGGAGAUGAGAGUGGUGACCAGAACAGGCUUGGUCCCCAUCCUUGUGGAUUUAUCGAUCUCAAGGGAGAGACAGGCAUUUAUGCCAUGAAAGCAUCUCUCCUACCGUCUCACUGUGGGUGCUGCUUCGUGUUUGGAUGGAGAGUAUCUUUUUGGUAGGUUCCAGUCCUUUUUUUGUUGAUGGUUGUUUGGCAGUUGUGAUUUUGGUGUUUUUGUGUGAGGAGGUGAACUCAAGUCCUCCUACUCUGCCAUCCUGUCUCUGGGAGACAGAUAUUUAGAUGCUGACGUGUAUCACAGGUAGAGAGGGCUGAGAUGAGGAAAACCAAUAGAGCAGAAGCCCGAAACAGACACCCAACCACCAUGGGGGAUCAAGGAGGACUUCCUGGAGGAGGAGACAUCUUAUUUGAAACCCAAAAGAUGUAUGUGGUUACUUUGAGAAUGAGGUAGGAAGAAAGAGGGAAGCUUCAAAAAAGAGGGAAAAGCAUGUACAAAUGUUUAGAGAGGGGGAGUCUGGAGUGCUAGACCAGCACAAUCCAAGAGAAACAUCAUGAGAACCACAAAUUUAAAAUUUUCUAGUAGCCACAUCAAAAACAAAAAGAAAAAUUAAUUUUAAUAAUAUAUUUUAUUUAACCCGAUAUAUCCAAAAUAUUACCAUAUUAACAUGUGAUCAGUAUAAAAGCUAUUAAUGAGACAUUUUACAUUCUCCUUUUGCACUAAGUCUCUGAGAUCUGGCCGGUAUUUUACACUAAAGUACAUCUCAGGCCACACAAGCCACAUUUCAAACCCUCCAUGACCACACGUGGCUGGUGGCUGCCUUACUGAGCAGAACAGCACAGCAAGACCCUUGUUACUCAAAGCACUGGCCUCACUUGGGAGCUUGUUAGAAAUGCAGAAUUCUCAGUCCCCCUCCCCAGACCCACUGAUUCAGAAUCUGCAUUUUAACACGAUCCCAGGGGACUUAUAUGUACAUUAGUUUGAGAAGUAUGGGUCCAGUUCUGCCUAAAGCACUUCUGCGGCUUCCCACUGCCCUCAGGAGAAACCCCAGGUACUGACCCUGGCAGCCAUUCAUUCAUCCGCUCAUUCAUUCCUGUUACUGUGCGCCUGCCGUGCACCAGGCCGGGCGCUGGGUGAUCCUGGGACACAGCAGGAACACAGACAGACCUGAGUCAUGGAGCCCCCAGGCAGUUAAAGGUAAGUACCCAGAUCCCUGUUUCCUUUAGACUGUGUUAAACACACUGUGCUGAGGUGAAGUUACGGUGUGGAAGGGGGUGUUAUGGGAGGCUGACCUGGCUUGAGCGGAGGGGUGGCCAGAAACGAACCCAAAAAAGGAAGAGGCCACUAUCGCGGCAGAGAGCCACAGGUGAAAUGUCCCGCUGCGGGGGACGGGCUGCCAGGCAACUCGGCCGUCCUCGGUCACUAAGGGAUCGUUUUCAGGCUUCAGGGCCAUGUGGAGAAAUGCCCGGAGGGGAUCAGGUUACGGGGAAGAGCCAGGGAUGGGGCUGCAGCAGUGUCACACCUGGCAGAGAUGUCUGCAUUUGGAAAGCCCAGGGGGAGGGGAGCUGAGCUCGGGAAGGUGGUCAGCGUGCCAACAGCGGGAGGACUUGGGGCAAGGAACUUAGGUCCCUUUUGCUUUGAAGGCCAUGUCUUCUGAUAAAACACCUGAAUCACUUUAAACUAACGGAACAGGGAGGGAACAUGUGCAGGAUGUGGGUGGAACAAGAAUGGCCACAUGCUGGUAACUGCUGCAGCUAGGUGAUGGGGGCAUGGGCACUCGUUAGACUUUUCUCUCCGCCUUGGCGCAUGUUUGAAGUUUCCCCUUAACAAAACAAAACAAAGUUAAGUGUUUUUCUUUGCAAGUAAUUGGGGAUGUUGAAAAAAAUAUUUUUGGCACCUGGAGAAGAAAGUCUUUGAAGCUCUUCUGAAAAGAAGAAACUGCAGUAUUAGAAAGGUGAGCGUCUCAGGGAAUUUCCUGGCGGUGCAGUGGUUUGGGCCCCGCAGUUCCACUGCAGGGGGCGUGGGUUCACUCCCUGGUCAGGGAGCGUAGAUCCCAUAAGCUGCGUGGGAAGGGAGCCCCUUGACACCCCCCCCCAAAAAAACCACUGUGAAUGUGAGCAUCUCCUUAAGAAUGGAGCCCAACAGGAAGAGGGUUGAAGGCACAGACAGUAGAACCAAUAGAAUUCCUGGGUUCAAAUCCCAGGGCUGCCACUGACUCCCUAUGAAACCUGAAGCAACGACUGCAACUCUGAACGCCUCACUGAAAAAGCGGGAUAACAGCAGCUGCCUCCUAAGGGCUGUGUUAGGUUGUUACUGAGUUAAUGCACACAGAGGUGCCUGGCUUGAAGCAGUGCAUGUAAACGUUGGCAGUGGUUAUCACAGCACGUGCCAGGCAGAUGUAACACCACAAAAGGUCUCAAGGAAGACGCACCCACGGUUCCUUUACAGAACUGACUGUCCAAUAGUCUGUGGUAUCAGAGGGGAAGUCAGGAACUCUUCCAACACCGAUGCACUGAUACUUUAGUAACCUUCCCUUACACAUACAAAACCCUUUUCUAUAAGUCAGUUGUUCCAAAGGCUUGUGAAACACCGUCUAAGUGACUUAAGUUCUGUUUAUAAUGAUAACUGAAGACUUCACGGUAGAGAGGUUCCUUAAGUUGAUGUGACCUUGAAAGGAAUCCUAUAAGCACUCAGAGGUCAGUCUAGGGUGACUGAGGGUUACAGACACACCUCUGUUCUCUUCCCGCCCUGGUGGAAUUGUUUAGGUGAUACAAAUGAUUCCUGAAAGGUCUUUUCCUCUUAAACACAACGUGAUUAUUGUCUUUUGUUAACUAAACAACAAGCUGUCCCCACAACAGCUACUGGUGUGUUCUGUUAGUAUUCAACAAAAACGUGUUUGUUGCAAAAAAUACUUUAAAGUGAAUCUCCUCUCCCCUACUUCCAACAUGCAGAAAUGACACUGGUUUUACAUUUUGUCCAUCAUCUUUACGGAUGACGUCUGGGAGUGUUUCAAAAUAAUGCGGGUGGUGUAUGUGGGACGGGCAGGGCUGGCGGGACUGAAGGUCACGGGGCUGAGUGAGGGUGCACACUGAGGCCCAGGUGAAAGAGAGGGCCGAGCUCUAGGAAGAGAGGAAGUGAGUUCAGUGUGUCUGCGGCUCAGGCAGUUGGGGAGACGGGCGGAACAAGUCAGGGACCAGGUCACACCAACGUUCAGUGUCAGUCUUUGGCGUGAGGACUCGGUCCUGAGGACGCUGGAGAAAUAUGGAAGGACUUCAAGCAAGAGGGUGUGAUAAGAUCUGGGUUUCACAAAGAUCCCUCAGCUGUCCAGUGGAGGUGGGUCAAAGGGGGAGACAGGAGGCCAGGCAAAGACGAGGUGGGAGAGGACAGAGCUGGACCUAGGCAAGGCCAUGACAGAUGAGAAGGGGCGGUGGACGAGUCUGGAGGCCUGGUGGUCAAGCCCUGGAGGAGGACGGUAGGGUGCAGGUUGGGGGAGGGAGGAAGCACCAAGGAUGAAGCCUUGAGCUCUCUCUGGGAGCCUGGUGUGUGGAGGAGACACCCCUGUGACAAGGGCCAAGAGGAGGAGCAGGUUUGCAGUUUGGGACAUGGUGAGUAUUAGGGGCCCAGGGCUGAGGGCAGGAUGGGGUGGGGGCUUCUUGGGGCCCCAGGGAGGAGCCGGAGCUAAAGGCAGAGAGUGGGCAUCAUCAGUACAGAGGCGGGAGGAGAGAAGAGCCCCCAACCAGCCUCUGAUCCAAGGGGUCAGUGGAAACAGGAACUUCUUGCAAAGAAGCAAGACACGGGGGAAAAACCAGGGGACAGUGUUGCCAUAGAAACCGAGGCGAGAGCGUCCUUACAGAAACAGAAAUGGCCUGCCGUAUUUGCUGAGAUGGCCCAUAAGAUGAAUACCAAAAAGUGGCCGCUGAGCCAGGUUUCUCAGCCCAGAGAAAGAAGUUACAAGAAAAGGCCAGAAGGAACCCUCUGGAGACUGGGUGAGAGACCAUUAUGGGCUCAAACAGGUUUAUCUGUAUACACAGAUAUCCGUAUAUAUACACAGAUAUCCGUAUAUAUACAUGCACAAAUACAAAUGUGUGUGUAUACAUGGGUUUCUACGUAUACGCUUCCCCAGCUGUGGCAGCUGAGAGACGACAGGGACCCCUCAGGUGCAAUGACCAUGCUCAGUGCCCAGGUCUUGGUUUCCAAUGCCACUCUCCAUCAGAGGAACCAGGGCUACCUGCAGAGGGGCUGAGUCCAGGGCUGGGCAAGUAAAUGCGAGAGGAACUGGCACAUCCUGCAAGUGCUGAAGAAUAAGGACGUGCUUGAGGGGAAAAUAAGAAUGCAGAGCCAACCUGGAAGAGCCCCUGUGGCCAAAACUGGGACGAGGUGAGUGGAAAAGUUCACUACGAUAGUACUGGGUUACAUGCAGAGAAUAAGAUAUCCAUGAGUCCGCGCUGAUAUGACUGUACAAACAAACGGGACAGAAGGGACAAACCUCCCUACGGAAGAGUUCCCAGUAAGAAAAGAGGAAAUCGGAGAAGCAGCAUUAGAACACCACAGUGACAACUGCAGCUGAGGAGCCUCACUGAGGAACACCAACUGAGUGGGUGGAAGGCUGAGGAGAAACAGCCUCAAAGGGUCUUCCCAUAUUUAUCACUGUGGCAGUUUUGACAUAUGAAAACAAAUUCUUUGUCUUUUUGCUCCAGGAAUUGGAGCUUCCAGGCUGGAUUUUGGGACUAGUUUCUAAAAGGCAUAAGGAAAGGGAAAACCCUAAGAGUACAGUUGAGAAACCUGGCGGCCAGCACCAAAAGGAAGUGAUCCGGGCUCCCAUCGCCUGAGUGGUACUCUUUGCCCAAACCUGCAGUCCUGGUCUAGCCAGGAGAAGAACAUCAGACGGCCCCAGACUGAGGGGCCUCCUACCCAAUACCUGACUGCGAAGGUCAUGGGAGGGAAGGACUGAGAAACUGUCACAGGGUGGAGGACACGGGAUGAACAAAUGCAACACGGUGUCCUGGACUGCGUCCUGGAACAGAAAAACAUUAGUCAAGUCCACCCAUUUUCCCACUAAAGGUUCUCGACUCCAGGAAGUCCUCCCUGAUGCCUUCAACGAGGUCACGUGCUUCACUGGGCUCCCACAGCCCCCAUGCCUCCCCCUUCCUGCUGUGACCCCGGUGGUCAGGGCUGUCUCCCCACUGGACAGGUGCUCUGGGAAGACAGCCCGGAGGCUACCGCAGUCAUUACCAGGGUCCCCUUACUUCCUGGGAAUUGACCUUUGCCCUUCAAGUUCAGAGCCUGCCAGAUCCCCCGCCUUCCUGGUCUCCCCACCCUUCCCCCAGUACACCAACUGUCUUUGAGGUGACUGCCCUGUCCACAGCCCUUCCCAGCAGAACGACCUCACUGUAGGAGCCCUCCGUCCACACUGGGUGGAGGGGGUUGGACACUGGACCCCAACAGUCCAACUUCUGUCUGGGGAACUUGUGAUGGGACGGAAAGGCUGUGGGGCACUGCAUGGGGAAACCCC